CCUACGGGAGGCAGCAGUGGGGAAUUUUGGACAAUGGGCGAAAGCCUGAUCCAGCAAUGCCGCGUGAGUGAAGAAGGCCUUCGGGUUGUAAAGCUCUUUUGUCAGGGAAGAAACGGUGAGGGCUAAUAUCCCUUGCUAAUGACGGUACCUGAAGAAUAAGCACCGGCUAACUACGUGCCAGCAGCCGCGGUAAUACGUAGGGUGCAAGCGUUAAUCGGAAUUACUGGGCGUAAAGCGUGCGCAGGCGGUUUUGUAAGUCUGUCGUGAAAUCCCCGGGCUCAACCUGGGAAUUGCGAUGGAGACUGCAAGGCUAGAAUCUGGCAGAGGGGGGUAGAAUUCCACGUGUAGCAGUGAAAUGCGUAGAGAUGUGGAGGAACACCGAUGGCGAAGGCAGCCCCCUGGGUCAAGAUUGACGCUCAUGCACGAAAGCGUGGGGAGCAAACAGGAUUAGAUACCCUGGUAGUCCACGCCCUAAACGAUGUCUACUAGUUGUCGGUUUAAUUAACUUGGUAACGCAGCUACGCGUGAGUAGACCGCCGNGGGAGGUACGGUCGCGAAGAGUAAACGUUACGAAGUAAGUUAGUUACGGCGNGAGACGNGCCGACGGACGACGACGAGGGAGGAGG
rnacentral:rRNA from 1 species